UUAAUUGUAGCUUAUAAAAAGCAUUUCACUGUUAAUGAAAAAAAAGUUUUAAAUCUCUAUUAAA
rnacentral:tRNA from 1 species